rnacentral:rRNA from 1 species
CCUAAUACAUGCAAGUCGAACGCUUUGUGGUUCAACUGAUAUGAAGAGCUUGCUCGGAUUUGAAGAUGAACAUUGCAAAGAGUGGCGAACGGGUGAGUAACACGUGGGAAACCUACCUCUUAGCGGGGGAUAACACUUGGAAACAAGUGCUAAUACCGCAUAAUACUGAUAACCGCAUGGUUAUCAGUUGAAAGAUGGUUCUGCUAUCACUAAGAGAUGGUCCCGCGGUGUAUUAGCUAGUUGGUAAGGUAAUGGCUUACCAAGGCAAUGAUACAUAGCCGAGUUGAGAGACUGAUCGGCCACAAUGGGACUGAGACACGGCCCAUACUCCUACGGGAGGCAGCAGUAGGGAAUCUUCCACAAUGGACGAAAGUCUGAUGGAGCAACGCCGCGUGUGUGAUGAAGGGUUUCGGCUCGUAAAACACUGUUGUAAGAGAAGAAUGACAUUGAGAGUAACUGUUCAGUGUGUGACGGUAUCUUACCAGAAAGGAACGGCUAAAUACGUGCCAGCAGCCGCGGUAAUACGUAUGUUCCAAGCGUUAUCCGGAUUUAUUGGGCGUAAAGCGAGCGCAGACGGUUGUUUAAGUCUGAAGUGAAAGCCCACAGCUUAACUGUGGAAGUGCUUUGGAAACUGGAUAACUUGAGUGCAGUAGAGGAGAGUGGAACUCCAUGUGUAGCGGUGAAAUGCGUAGAUAUAUGGAAGAACACCAGUGGCGAAGGCGGCUCUCUGGACUGUAACUGACG